rfam:Corchorus capsularis cultivar CVL-1 contig01655, whole genome shotgun sequence.
GGAGAUGAAUGGCUGAGUGGUUAUAGCUCCGGUCUUGAAAACCGGUAUAGUUCGAAACAAAGAACUAUCGAGGGUUCGAAUCCCUUCUCUNUCC